AGGAGCCUUAGUAAAGACGUACAAGCCUAAGCCUUGGGAUUUUUCUGUGGCUCUUCCUCAGUCUUUCAGCGGAUGGCACCAGCACCAACAGCAGCCAAGACUCUCUCCACAAGUCCAGCAAGAAGAAGAGCAUCAAGUCUUCCAUUGGCCGACUUUUUGGAAAGAAAGAGAAGGGGAGAGUCGGACAACCUGGGCGUGAUGGAUCACCUUCUCUGGCAUCUACUCCCUCUGAGGACAUGGCCUCUGGAGAUCCAAUGGGAAUGAACAAGACUGGGACUCUUGGUCCAGCAGACAAAGACCGGCGCAGCAAGAAGAAGUCAGUCU